GAUGAAGAGCGUAGCGAAAUGCGAUAAGUAAUGCGAAUUGCAGAAUUCCAGUGAGUCAUCGAAUCUUUGAACGCACAUUGCGCCCCUUGGUAUUCCGAGGGGCAUGCCUGUUCGAGCGUCAUUAUAACCCCUCAAGCUCAGCUUGGUGUUGGGGCCUGCUGCACUGGCAGCCCUUAAAAUCAGUGGCGGCGCCAUCUGGCUCUAAGCGUAGUAAUUCUUCUCGCUAUGGAGUCCUGGUGGAUGCUUGCCAUCAACCCCCAAUUUUUCUAUGGUUGACCUCGGAUCAGGUAGGGAUACCCGCUGAACUUAAGCAUAUCAAUAAGCGGAGGA
rnacentral:misc_RNA from 1 species